AGGAUGAACGCUGGCGGCGUGCCUAAUACAUGCAAGUCGAACGGAGCCUUCGGGCUUAGUGGCGAACGGGUGAGUAACACGUUGGUACCUACCCUCUAGUGGGGAAUAACUGCCCGAAAGGGUGGCUAAUACCGCAUAAUACCGCAAGGUUAAAGCAGUAAUGCGCUAGAGGAGGGGCCUGCGUCCCAUUAGCUUGUUGGUAGUGUAAUGGACUACCAAGGCGACGAUGGGUAGCUGGAUCGAGAGGUUGACCAGCCACACUGGGACUGAGAUACGGCCCAGACUCCUACGGGAGGCAGCAGUAAGGAAUCUUCCACAAUGGACGAAAGUCUGAUGGAGCAACGCCGCGUGCAGGAUGACGGUCUUCGGAUUGUAAACUGCUUUUAUAUGGGAAGAUUAUGACGGUACCAUAUGAAUAAGGACCGGCUAACUACGUGCCAGCAGCCGC
rnacentral:rRNA from 1 species